rnacentral:rRNA from 1 species
GACGAACGCUGGCGGCGUGCUUAAUACGUGCAAGUCGAACGGAAAGGCCCUGCUUUUGUGGGGUGCUCGAGUGGCGAACGGGUGAGUAACACGUGAGUAACCUGCCCUUGACUUUGGGAUAACUUCAGGAAACUGGGGCUAAUACCGGAUAGGAGCUCCUGCUGCACGGCGGGGGUUGGUAAGUUUCGGCGGUUGGGGUUGGACUGGCGGCUCAUCAGCUUGUUGGUGGGGUAGUGGCUUACCAAGACUUUGACGGGUAGCCGGCCUGAGAGGGUGACCGGCCACAUUGCGACUGAGCUACGGCCCAGAGUCCUACGGGAGGCAGCAGUGGGGAAGAUUGCCCAAUGGGCGGAAGCCUGAUGCAGCAACGCCGCGUUCUGGAUGACGGCCUUCGGGUUGUAAACCGCUUUCGCCUGUGACGAAGCGUGAGUGACGGUAAUGGAUAAAGAAGCACCGGCUAACUACGUG